AUUUCUCAUGGGUGAAAGAUUUGUGCAGCGGUAUCCAGACAUAUAACGCCCCAUUCACACGGGGAGUCAACGCCUCUCGUUUACUUUUAAAUGGAGUGACGUCAAGCAUGAUUUGAGGGAAAGAUUAAAAACAAGGAGGUCUGGGAAUGACUGAAGGGAACUGACAGCAGUGAGGGAAGGAAGUAAUCACCAGAAUAGAAGGAUAUUGACCGUGCAGGCCCAGGAUGAAGAAGAGGAGGAAGAAAACAUUUAACAAUUUUCUCAUAAACUUUCCAUGUGUUAUAAUAAAAACAAUGAACAUGACUACAAUAAUAUGCUAAAUGUUAUUAAAAGAUUCCAGUUUGCAAGAAAUAUGAGUGUCUGACUCUACACUAGAGGAACUCUUUUCUGAAGAACAUCAGGUGCUGAGAAGAAGCAUUGUUAUUACAGCAAAACACUGCAUCAAGCCUCCUGUCCUUCCCUCAGAAGAGCCUGUCUUCUGCUGCUGGGGUUUAUCCUCUGAUAGUGAGCACAGAGCCCUGAUCAUGACAUAAAAGAAAAAAAAUAAUGUCCAUGAUUUACUAAUUUGUUCCCUCGAUGUACUAAAACGUGCAUGAUUACUUUUACAUUUCAUUGAUUUGCUUAAUCUUAUGCACAAUUUACUAAUUCGUUCUCUUGAUGUAUAAAUAGUGUACAUGAUUUAGCAAAUCGAGGGAAUGAAAUAGAAAAUCGUGCGCAUGAAUUAGCCUAUAUUUUUUCCUGCAUGCCGUGUAAUUAAAGCACAUCACCACCAGACAUUUAUACCAGGAGCCUCAUAUACGAC